UACGUAGGGUGCGAGCGUUGUCCGGAAUUAUUGGGCGUAAAGAGCUCGUAGGCGGUGUGUCACGUCGGCCGUGAAAACCUGCAGCUUAACUGUGGGCGUGCGGUCGAUACGGGCAUCACUGGAGUUCGGCAGGGGAGACUGGAAUUCCUGGUGUAGCGGUGAAAUGCGCAGAUAUCAGGAGGAACACCGGUGGCGAAGGCGGGUCUCUGGGCCGAUACUGACGCCGAGGAGCGAAAGCGUGGGGGAGCAAACAGG
rnacentral:rRNA from 1 species